rnacentral:rRNA from 1 species
CCCUUAGAUGUUCUGGGCAGCACGCGCGCUACAAUGGUCUUCGCAAACGGAUGCAUUCUCGAAGGAGAAUGCCAAUCUUGGAAUCUAUGCCUUGGUCGGGACAGUUGCUUGCAAUUUUUCGACUCGAACCAGGAAUUCCUUGUAAUCGUGAUUCAUCACAUCACGAUGAAUACGUCCCUGCCCUUUGUACACACCGCCCGUCGCUACUACCGAUUGGAUGGAUUAGUGAGACCCUCGGACUGGAACCUAGAGGCGGUGGUUCAUCCACCAAAUCUUGGAGCCGGGAAGAAGGUCAAACUUGUCUAUCUAGAGGAAGUAAAAGUCGUAACA